GCGGGCGUAGUUCAGUGGCAGAACACAAGCUUCCCAAGCUUGAUAUGAGGGUUCGAUUCCCUUCGCCCGCU
rnacentral:tRNA from 1 species